rnacentral:misc_RNA from 1 species
AACAAGGCGUACCUGCGGACCUGCGGAGGGAUCAUUACCGAGUUUACAACUCCCAAACCCCUGUGAACAUACCACUUGUUGCCUCGGCGGAUCAGCCCGCUCCCGGUAAAACGGGACGGCCCGCCAGAGGACCCCUAAACUCUGUUUCUAUAUGUAACUUCUGAGUAAAACCAUAAAUAAAUCAAAACUUUUAACAACGGAUCU